rnacentral:misc_RNA from 1 species
GUGUCUGGCUGUUAGUGUUGCUUUGAUCCAAUAAAAUUAGAAGGCAACUCUGAAAGUUGGGUGCUGGGCCACUCUCUAGUGAUUUUUUGAGAUGUUUUUCCUCCCCCCAUUUGUUAGAUUUAUUUUUCUUGUCAUUUUGAUCAUUAGGAUGGUAGCUUGUGUUUUGAGUUUGAUAAAAAUCAAGUAAUUUCUUGUAGAUGGGGUUUAUCUUUCCUGAGCAUGUUUUAAGAACUGUUAUUGGAAUACUGCGGAGUUGUUUAUAGCAGAGGAUGGCAGGCGCUUCACUCUUCAGUAGGAUUCAUCGUGGGUGGGGUUAGGCUUUGUGCUCUUGAAGUGGUGGUAUGAGACUGCAUGUGGACUAUGCAACUUUACUACUGUAUUUGUGAUGUAUAUUAA